AGACGUCUACAUUAGGAUACCCGUGUAGUCCCAGCCGUAAACUAUGCGCGUUAGGUGUAUCGGUGACCACGAGUUACCGAGGUGCCGAAGGGAAACCGUGAAACGUGCCGCCUGGGAAGUACGGUCGCAAGGCUGAAACUUAAAGGAAUUGGCGGGGAGCACCACAACGGGUGGAGCCUGCGGUUUAAUUGGACUCAACGCCGGGAAGCUCACCGGAUAAGACAGCGGAAUGAUUGCCGGGCUGAAGACUCUGCAUGACUAGCUG
rnacentral:rRNA from 1 species